GACGAACGCUGGCGGCGUGCUUAACACAUGCAAGUCGAACGGAAAGGCCCUGCUUUUGUGGGGUGCUCGAGUGGCGAACGGGUGAGUAACACGUGAGUAACCUGCCCUUGACUUUGGGAUAACUUCAGGAAACUGGGGCUAAUACCGGAUAGGAGCUCCUGCUGCAUGGUGGGGGUUGGAAAGUUUCAGCGGUUGGGGAUGGACUCGCGGCUUAUCAGCUUGUUGGUGGGGUAGUGGCUUACCAAGGCUUUGACGGGUAGCCGGCCUGAGAGGGUGACCGGCCACAUUGGGACUGAGAUACGGCCCAGACUCCUACGGGAGGCAGCAGUCGGGAAUAUUGCACAAUGGGCGGAAGCCUGAUGCAGCAACGCCGCGUUCGUGAUGACGGCCUUCGGGUUGUAAACCGCUUUCGCCUGUGACGAAGAGUGAGUGACGGUAAUGGGUAAAGAAGCACCGGCUAACUACGUG
rnacentral:rRNA from 1 species